UACGCAGGUCCCGAGCGUUGUCCGGAUUUAUUGGGCGUAAAGCGAGCGCAGGUGGUUUAUUAAGUCUGGUGUAAAAGGCAGUGGCUCAACCAUUGUAUGCAUUGGAAACCGGUAGACUUGAGUGCAGGAGAGGAGAGUGGAAUUCCAUGUGUAGCGGUGAAAUGCGUAGAUAUAUGGAGGAACACCGGUGGCGAAAGCGGCUCUCUGGCCUGUAACUGACACUGAGGCUCGAAAGCGUGGGGAGCAAACAGG
rnacentral:rRNA from 1 species